rnacentral:sRNA from 1 species
CCUCACCGAUCCCACCGCGUGUCCACUGCCGGGUCACGGCACCAAUCCCAUCGCCAGCGGUUCUCCCGACGU